rnacentral:rRNA from 1 species
CAAUAGCGUAUAUUAAAGUUGUUGCGGUUAAAAAGCUCGUAGCUGGAUUUCUGGUGGGAGCGAUCGGUCUGGCGCUUAGCGCGAGUACUUGCAUCGUCUCCGGCCAUCCUUGGGGAGAGUCUGUCUGGCAUUAGGUUGUCGGGCAGAGGAUCCUCAUCGUUUACUGUGAAAAAAUUAGAGUGUUCAAAGCAGGCUUAUGCCGUUGAAUAUAUUAGCAUGGAAUAAUAAGAUAGGACUUUGGUACUAUUUUGUUGGUUUGCGCACCAAAGUAAUGAUUAAUAGGGACAGUUGGGGGUAUUCGUAUUCCGUUGUCAGAGGUGAAAUUCUUGGAUUUACGGAAGACGAACUACUGCGAAAGCAUUUACCAAGGAUGUUUUCAUUAA